UACAGAGACUGCAAGCGUUAUUCGGAUUCACUGGGCGUAAAGGGUGCGCAGGCGGUUGUGUGUGUCAGGGGUGAAAGCCCGGGGCUUAACCCCGGAAUUGCGCCUGAAACUACAUGACUAGAGCAUUGGAGAGGGUAGCGGAAUUCACGGUGUAGCAGUGAAAUGCGUAGAUAUCGUGAGGAACAUCAGUGGCGAAGGCGGUCUGCUGGGCCGUUGCUGACGCUGAGGCGCGACAGCGUGGGGAGCGAACAGG
rnacentral:rRNA from 1 species